GUCUUAUGAUCCGACAAAAGACAAAGGAAAUUGCUCUUUCAAUCUGAGUCUGUAAUUUGUACUAUGAAAUUUGAUACUUACAGUAUAUCAUGAACAAACUGAGUUGACGAAAUUUGAUACUUAUAGUAUAUCAUGAACAAAUUGAGUUGACGAAGGGUUAAAUAAGUGUUUCACAAGUGGAACCAUUGAAAAGACAAUAUGUCAUCCUCUCAGCGUAGUGGGAUACGUACUCCCAUUCAGAACCUGACAAAUAACAGCAAUUCAGGUAAAUACAUAUAUCACCUACUCUUACCUACUUUGAUCUUGUAAAUCUAGAAUAUGCCAUUGUCUCACAGGUCAAAAACCAGAUCCAAAAGAGCUGAAGAGACAGAGGGAAAGGAAGAGGUAUGCACUAAACAGGGAUGCAAUAUUAAAGAAAAGACAGGAGGCAAGGGAUCGUAAGAAAGCUACGGCUGCUAUUCUAAAUGGAAUCAACACUCCAUCUAAGCCACAUGGGGCCAUGUCGCCUGGUUUUGACACUUUGGAGAUGCCCAGUAAGCAGUCUGCUAUCACCCAACAAUGACACACACCAGCUGCGGAAGGCAUACCUGUUCAUGUGAUAAUGAGUGAUCAGACUCCACCUCAUGGUCCAAAUUCAUUAAGAACACCAGAUACCGCCGUUUCUAACAAGGAAAAUGUCAAUAAUAUCGACUCUGCCAUUGGGUCCUCCCAACUGACUAUGUUACCACCGCCACUUCAAUCCUACAGAGGCAGCAGUUCAUAUGAAGCAAAACAAGCACUUAAGGGGCGGAAGGGAAAUGCCCGCUAUGAGCAACAUAAGCAAGUCAUAUUGCAAAGCCUACGUGACAAACAGCGUCGAACCAAAUCGUCAACAGUAGUCCUUGCUACUGCAGAACAAAAUCAAUCCGAUAUAGCUGAUGAAGAUUGUGAUUGGCUACACACAAAUGAUAUGUACCAGAGACAAGACUUUGGAAGGAGGAUGCUGCCAGACAACAUACUCACUGCGCCGUCAUGUGGGCACAAUCCCGUCGACAAAUAUAAUGGAAAUGACCACGAAGAUGAUGCAUAUGGAAUACUGGAGCCCGAUGGCAACACAAACAACAUUGAUGACUGCUUGGAAGACGGAAACCUUGUAGAAGCUGAAUACCUUGAGCAUGAUGAAGAAGCUAGGAUGUUCUCCCACCAAGGUGUUGAAUUUGAAUCCUACCGAGUUGAACGAUGUCACACUGAUGGAACAAACACAAAUGAUCCUCAUGAUAGGGUUUACAUUAACCUUCCCAGAAAUCACCACGUCCUUAGGAAAGUUAGGGACUGCCUCCACUGUGGAGCAUUGCGGUUUCAAUACGAGGGACCUGCAUUUUGUUGCAGAAAGGGGAAAGUAGGUUUAUUUACACCCGAGGUUCCGGACGAGUUGAAACGGUUGUUCACAAGUCAAUGUGAUGACGAUGCUAAAUAUUUUCGAGACAAUAUACGAUACUUCAACUCUCACUUCUCAUUCACAAGUCUUGGAGUCACCCUUGAUCGUCGAGUAAGCACUGCGGCACGAACCGGCGUAUAUACCUUCCGUGCAUGUGGGGGGUUGUACCACGCUCUUGAUGAUCUGGUGCCGGCUAAUAAUGGCCCUAGGCAUUUGCAGCUCUAUAUUUAUGAUACAGAUCAUAACUUGGUGCACAGGGCUAAGAGGUCUCCAGAUCUAAAUAUAGAUCUCAUACGGAAAAUUCUGCUAAUACUAGAGCCUAAACCUCAUGCGCAGGCUUUCAAGAGCCUUGGGUCUGUUCCGAAUCUAGAUGAGUACAAGAUCUCACUAAACACAGAUAUCAAGUUGGAUCAACGUACGUACAAUGCCCCAACGACUUCUCAGGUGGCAGCAAUAUGUGUUGAGGGGAGCCACCCACAAAAUUGUUUUGACAGGAGUGUUGUCGUGCAUGGCAAAAAAGGAGACCGACCCCUGUAUAUUAGAGCCUACUAUGGGUGCUAUGACCCAUUGUCAUAUCCAUUGUUUUUCCCACGUGGGGAGAGUGGUUGGAAUCGCUGGAUGCCGUAUGUUCAGGCCCCUGAUUACACCACCCAAGAUCCAGCACAUAAUUCUGGACCGCAAGAAAACCGGGCCUCUCAACUACAUACAGAUGGAAACUUGGUUAAUGGAAGGGAACAAUUUGGGAACUUUGUGCCAGCUGAAGACCGAGUAACUGAUUUACAUACAUAUGAUAAUUUGAUUAAUGAAAGGGAACAAGUUGGCAACUUUGUGCCAGAUGAAGACCAUGCCACUGGUGUACAUGCAGAUGAUAAUGAGGAUAACCAAGAUGAGGAUCUUGGUGACAAUGAGGUGAAUGCAACACAAUCCAGGAAAUUUGUUAGUGCGAGGGAGUACUACUGCUUCAAGCUACAGGCCAGGAAGAAGCUUUUUAACAUCAUCUUGUUCGGUGGGCGCCUUUUCCAACAGUGGGCUGUUGACAUGUAUAUCAAGAUUGAGACUAUGAGGCUGGACUGGUACUCAAAGCCAGAAAAUCAAAAGGUUAUAUGAGGCUGGAUGCAUAUAAAAAGAUAUUCUCUCUGUUAUAAUAUUAUACUACCACGUGUUUCAGCUACCGAGCGAUGACGAAUCAAGUGAAAUAUUGAACAAUAAUGAAGUGGAGGAAAGUAAUUGCACGGAGAGCUCAGAAUAUACACCUAUUCUUGAUGAAAACAUAGCAAACAGAGAGGCCAAAUAUUCUGAACAUACACAAAUUAUGCCUGCACUGGCGAUGAUUGGUCCGUUAUACAAAAUAUCAUAUCCGAAACCAGCAAAGAAAGAAAUUUAGUGAGCAUCGGCGACGCAUUUCUGAAAAAAAGACAUUUACUAUCUCUUCUAACUCCCAGAGAAUGGGUUGGCGACGAAGUCAUAAAUACGUACAUAAAUUGCAUGACUGCUACGAAGCAUCUACAAGUAAGGUCAGGUGGAACCGUGUUCUUAGAGAAUGCAUGCAUCUCUAAGAUGAUAAAGAUCGGUAGCUAUCUGCCAUCAAAUGACACGGAUGCUGAACCAGCACGGGUAUUAAACAGAGCCAAAGCGUAUUUGGAAAAUGAUAUGAUAUACAUUCCAAUAAACAUGGACGACGUUCACUGGUACCUAUGUAUUAUAAAUGCCAGAAAACAAUGUGUUCAAGUGCUCGACUCGCUAGGCCCAUGCAUGAACUGCAAACAGGGGCGGAUCCAGCCCAGCCCAGCGCCCCGGCCCCCUUCGUGGACUACAGUACUUUUGCUACAGUAUUUGCUACAGUAUACGAAAGAACUGGGCCUCAUGCCCCGGGCCUGGGUCCCCC